CCUACGGGAGGCAGCAGUGGGGAAUAUUGCACAAUGGGGGAAACCCUGAUGCAGCGACGCCGCGUGAGCGAUGAAGUAUUUCGGUAUGUAAAGCUCUAUCAGCAGGGAAGAAAAUGACGGUACCUGACUAAGAAGCCCCGGCUAACUACGUGCCAGCAGCCGCGGUAAUACGUAGGGGGCAAGCGUUAUCCGGAUUUACUGGGUGUAAAGGGAGCGUAGACGGCUGUGCAAGCCAGAUGUGAAAGCCCGGGGCUCAACCCCGGGACUGCAUUUGGAACUGUGUGGCUGGAGUGUCGGAGAGGCAGGCGGAAGUCCUGGUGUAGCGGUGAAAUGCGUAGAUAUUAGGAGGAACACCAGUGGCGAAGGCGGCCUGCUGUACGAUGACUGACGUUGAGGCUCGAAAGCGUGGGGAGCAAACAGGAUUAGAUACCCGUGUAGUC
rnacentral:rRNA from 1 species